GCUAGGCAUGGUGGUGCAUGCCUGUAAUCCCAGCAGCUCAAGAGGCUGAGGCAGGAGGAUUGCAAGUUUGAGACCUGCCUGGGCAAUUUAGCAAGACCCUGCCUCAA
rnacentral:sRNA from 1 species